AGUGAAUAUCCCUGGUGAGCUUUCCCUCAAAUACCCGUUUACGUCCUCAUUUUUGAUCUCUCCACCUUGUCUUAACUUGCGGCUGCGUCUUGGUGCGUUCGUGAAUCAUGAGGGCCAAGUGGAAGAAAAAACGUAUGAGGCGUCUCAAACGUAAGAGGCGAAAGAUGAGACAGAGGUCGAAGUAGCCGUUCCGAUUUUGGUCGCUGUCUUGGGAGCAGUGGAGUAUGUCAUAUGUUUCAACUCGUUCUGCUGCUAGGUAUAUGUUCGGAAGGUGGACGACUCGAUGAAACUUCCACCACUAUUUCCUGUGCUGCAUCCCGAAACUGUGAAGUUUCGAGCGGUUUCCAGUAUCUGGCAACUAGAAUCAUCAUAGGCUCCUCGUCCUUGUGUAGAACUGUGAUGAGUUAGAUAAUAUAAUGAGAGCGAGAGAUGCAGGAUAUCUUUACGUAUGCUUCGGUCAUGAAAGUGCUUGUGUCAUUGUUAUCAAUUCGUUCUCCGUCUCCACAAUUUUUAUCCCCGAUGAGAAUUUGUACAAGACCAGUCAAUGAAAAUAACUUAUAGUAUUGCAGUUCGUGGCUACAACUAUGUAGUAUUGCAGUCUCUCAACUAGUAGUGUUGCAUUUAUUCAUUACUCAUGUCGGAAGUUUUCAAGGCAUUUCGUUGAAAAUAAGUUAGAGUAUGCUGAAGGAGAAUUCAGAAUUAUAGUUAUCUAAAGUUGACAAAAUAACAUAUAGUAGUGAACACGAUUUUGUAGUGAGAAGUAGGCGCAGCCCUUGCACGUUACGAAGAAAAGACAAACAUUCAUACUUGGGAGGCACAGGGAACUUGUAAAGGUGAAUCACUGAAGCCUCUCAACACACGAUUACUCAGGUGAGAUGGGAUCUAUGUGACCUUUUUGUUUUUUCUUACACUGCCUUACUGUCGGUAGAAGUCCGAUUUCGGGAGCAAAUGUCACACCAUGCGAGGUUGAAUUCUAUGUAGGUGUUCAUGGUAGAUUUUCAUAGUUUUGAUGUGACUGUACCAAUCUCAAUAGCUAACGGUGGUCAGUACCUAUCGCGGUCACGCUUACUUCAGAUUCUUCAACGGAUUGGCAAACCGUAUUUAAAGGCUAAUUACUUUUAAUAGAUGAUGCCAACUAGUAACGCUUUCACUGCACAUAUUUCUACGCUUGUGACGUUUAGGACUGUCGCUAUGUGGGAUGUGAUAACUGUCUGUUCGUGCGCUUCUUGAAAGUCCUAGAACCAGAUUGCACCUUAAGUCGUAGUGUUCCUCAAAAUCUGAACCUUCUUUGACUAUAGUGGUCUGAAACAUGGCCCUUGCUUCAAAUUUGUACACUACGGUAGGUGGACUUUGCAACUCUGUGCUUCACAUGUCGGAUGUGCAUCAGGUGCUCCAUUCAGAUGCCCGAUCGUGAAUCAAGUGUGGGUGACGGAAUGUUUAAGGAUUACUGAAAAGAAACUAAUGCAAGGUUGUCUCUUCUGCCGUUGGUUCGUUAUUGACCCUCUCUGAACACAACUCACCUUGAAGAAAUUGAAUGGAAUAGCUUUCAUAGAUUAUCUAAAACAGCGGAGAUACUAUUGAGAAGAAUGAGGAGGCCGCAAGAUGAGAACUGUACUUUUGGUUCACUUUGACGAGGUGAAUCAUCUCUAUUAACUUUUGAGGGUGGACUCAUUCAGUCGAGCCGCUUAAACUCCAUGGUCCUCUGGUCGUUGAGUUUCGCUAUGCACGCGUGGUUAUCAAGUUGUGCUGUGCCAGCCUUGGGAUGUAAGUGGGAGAGCUCAUCAGAACCACGAACCUCACUAGCUUGCACGCCUACUUUGGGGAGAGUUACUACGAAUCUUGCAGUUCAACUUUUGAAAGACUGCAACUCUGUCUCACGCUGAUAGACCUGGCUGCCAUCAGAUCAUCUUCAAGGGAUAAGAGAAAGAGCAUAGGCAACGGUCUCCCGAACUCUCGGAUGCUUGCAAAACUUAAGUACCGAUUUUAAAUGUAAUUUAAGCAAUAUUAUUGGUGGAUAAUUUGUACACUCCACAAUUGCCUCCGAAUAAAAUUUGUACGAGCUUGUGAUUGAGA